GAUGAACGCUGGCGGCGUGCUUAACACAUGCAAGUCGAACGAUGAAGCCCAGCUUGCUGGGUGGAUUAGUGGCGAACGGGUGAGUAACACGUGAGUAACCUGCCCUUAACUCUGGGAUAAGCCUGGGAAACUGGGUCUAAUACCGGAUAGGAGCGUCCACCGCAUGGUGGGUGUUGGAAAGAUUUAUCGGUUUUGGAUGGACUCGCGGCCUAUCAGCUUGUUGGUGAGGUAAUGGCUCACCAAGGCGACGACGGGUAGCCGGCCUGAGAGGGUGACCGGCCACACUGGGACUGAGACACGGCACAGACUCCUACGGGAGGCAGCAGUGGGGAAUAUUGCACAAUGGGCGCAAGCCUGAUGCAGCGGCGCCGCGUGAGGGAUGACGGCCUUCGGGUUGUAAACCUCUUUCAGUAGGGAAGAAGCGAAAGUGACGGUACCUGCAGAAGAAGCACCGGCUAACUACGUG
rnacentral:rRNA from 1 species